rnacentral:rRNA from 1 species
CCCGCUCAGAAACUUAAAGGAAUUGACGGGGCCCGCACAAGCGGAGGAACAUGUGGUUUAAUUCGAUGAUACGCGAGGAACCUUACCCGGGCUUGAAAUGCAUCUGACCGGCCUUGAAAGAGGCACUCCCUUCCGGGGCAGAUGUGUAGGUGCUGCAUGGUUGUCGUCAGCUCGUGCCGUGAGGUGUCGGCUUAAGUGCCAUAACGAGCGCAACCCUCAUCAUUAGUUACCAUCAGGUAAGGCUGGGGACUCUAAUGAGACUGCCAUCGUAAGAUGUGAGGAAGGUGGGGAUGACGUCAAAUCAGCACGGCCCUUACGUCCGGGGCGACACACGUGUUACAAUGGGUGGUACAAAGGGCAGCUACCUGGCGACAGGAUGCUAAUCUCGAAAACCGCUCUCAGUUCGGAUCGGAGUCUGCAACUCGACUCCGUGAAGCUGGAUUCGCUAGUAAUCGCGCAUCAGCCAUGGCGCGGUGAAUACGUUCCCGGGCCUU